rfam:Schistosoma rodhaini strain Burundi genome assembly, scaffold: SROB_contig0000591
ACCCAGCUGACCAGUCCCAAAUAGGACGAAACGCGCGUCCUGGUAU